UACGGAGGGUGCAAGCGUUGUCCGGAUUUAUUGGGUUUAAAGGGUGCGUAGGCGGUCUUUUAAGUCAGCGGUGAAAUCCUCCAGCUUAACUGGAGAACUGCCAUUGAUACUGGAAGACUUGAGUACAGACGAGGUAGGCGGAAUUGACAGUGUAGCGGUGAAAUGCAUAGAUAUGAUAUAGAACACCGAUUGCGAAGGCAGCUUACUAAACAACUAUUGACGCUGAGGCACGAAAGCGUGGGGAUCAAACAGG
rnacentral:rRNA from 1 species